rnacentral:antisense_RNA from 1 species
AGUUUUGGCGGCUCGACGUGCGGGCGCAAGCCCGGCCGGUUUCCAGUGGUUGCCCGGUAGUCCAACUCGUCGAGCCGCCGCCCCG